GCAUCAAUACUUCUACCGCCUGCUUUGACUAGCCACCAGAAAUCAAAUCAAAAUUGGGUUACAAUCAAUCGGCUGUAGUUACGAACUAUAGGUUAUUAUUCUAUAUAUAGCUAAAUGUAAGUUAUGCUGAGCUGACUAGAGAAUUUGUAAUGUUAUGCUGAUUGCGCUUCACCAGUGUUAUUUUUAGCUAGAUGCCUCUGUCUGAUUCGCACGGUAACGUUCCUUCGUUUUGAGACUAUAGAUGCUUGUUGAAGCAAGCUAGUAAGUUUUCUAUGAAGGAACAAUUCAGCCAAGUUUCUUCAUGGCACCUCAUCUCUAGGGUAUAUAUCGACGGGGCUUGUUUAGUAUAUGCAUGCUAGUCUUACGGUGCCAUUUUUCAGUUUGGUGGAUGGUGGAUCUGCUUUACAUUUGCCUAUGCUCAACGCAAUCAACCAUGAAUGUUUUCUCUGUUUUCUACUUUCUUAUUUAUUUAUUUCUGCUAGUUUCACUUCUGUGCUACUUUUACUCCCUUUCGCAAAUGUCUAAACAAAUGCAGGAAACCUGACCUAUAUUUCAUCGAUAUGCUUUGUUUUAAUGCUUGUUGAUUCAUCGUAAUGUACUAAUUUGUUCUUUAUUUAAACCCACGGCAUUGAUGGCAUGGUGGCGAGACAUGGGCACUUAAUUAUUUUCAAUAUGCUCCUAUUAUUGGUACGGCCCAAUGGGGCAUUUAUAUAACACACAAGAGGGUUGUAUUUACUGUCAUUCUCAGCAUGGAAGGAGAGGUUUUCUGUCGAGUGGUAUUUGUGUUUGUUGUUUACAUGAUUGAUAAUUUGGUAGCGCACAUUUAGCAUGGACUUACAGUUGCACUUUUAUGUAUUUUCUUGGGUUACCAUGUAUCCAGAUUGUUCUAGCCUGCUUACCCAGCCUUUUGGGCUUUUAGAUAAACUAACGACUGUCAGUUGGGUCGAGAAAACGCAAUAGCUUUGCGACUCAACGCAUCAAUAGAAACAAAAUAGUUCUAUUAGAGGCCUAGGAGCUAGGCAUGAACACACAUAACCCAGCUAUCAAGUUGCAUUUCCCAAUUUUGUGACAGCUGUUGGACCCGGGCAGCAUCUGCCAAGGCCCAUUUCUUUGUCUUAGCCUCUGCCUCUGCCUGGUUGGUUGGAGAUUUAUAUCAGAACUACUCUGCGUAAAACAUUUCUGAUCUGUAUGAGUAUGAUGGUGUGGGCUUAACAUGGCCCACUCCUCGUGUAAUCCUGCAUCAUACUGAAAUCGGAUGAGUAAUCGCCGCACACAUAGCAUUAUCCAAUUUUUAUUACCACACUGCUCAUCCUUGUCUCCAUCUGUCUUGUGCUUAGCAAUGGACUAAGACUUGGCCCUCUCUUCUGGCCUCCUAACCUUGUGAAUGAUGAUGGACAGCCUUUGUCUUAUGGUGAUCACUGAUCAAGCAUAUCAUUUCCUUGUGUAUUGACAUGGGUAGAAGACACAGAUUACAACCUACUGAUUAGCUUCUAUAUGACCAUCUACACCACAUACUCAAUUUUGCAUUGGUUGGGGAUGGAGGUGAACAGACGCACAGACCCCUUGACCACAGCACGACCUAGUAGUUGUUUUGGUUUUGAAGUACAUAAAUUUUUCUACCCCUUAUGCAUUAGGUAAGCCUGAACCUGAACCUGUCCCAACUCAGCUGCAGCUUAUCCAAAAAAUUUAGGAAGAUGAAGUGAGUGGAAUAGAAUAGGAAGAUUUUUAGUAGGUUGUAAUUGUACUACUUCCUCCGUCCAACAAAAGAUGUCUCAAGUUUGUCAAAAUUUGGAUGUAUCUAGACAUGACUUAGUAUAUAGAUGCAUUCAAAUUUGGUCAAAGUUGAGACAUCCUUUGUUGGACGGAGGGAGUAUAUUCAAUAUUCCUAUAGAAAAAUAUGCAAGAAGCCUUCUUUAAAAACGGCCAGUUCGUAGGGAAGGUAGGCAAACCGUCCUAGCCAUGCCAUUUCAGUUUUGAAAUCUAUUGUUAAUCAAGGUACUGUUCUGGGGAAAGUACAGUUAAUUUUUUAUCUGGAUUGGUUUAUCACAGUUUUUAGUUAAUUUCACAGUUCCACUUGACGCCUUCUGUUUGAUCCUAAAGUAUCUGGGUUGUGGAAGUUAAGGCACCGUUUCAUCCUGGACACGCUGUUUUACUUAUGAAAUCUGUAUUAACCAAGGGCACUGUUUGGAAAAAGUAUACUCAAAGUUGAUGGGUUGUAUAUAUGUGGACUGUUUUAUCCCAGUUUCUUGUUAGCUUUCAAUUGUGUGCUUCAACUGUGCUUCUAUUAGUGUUCCUGUUAUUUGUGAUUGUUUAAUUACCAUCGAGCAUAUACUGAGAUUACACCAGCUUAUUUGUUAUGUCUUCAGUGUUUAACUAUGUUCCAUGCCACGUGUCAUAUCUGCCUUUACACACAGCAUAACUGUGCAUCAGUGGCACUAGUUGAACAUAUCUACAGUAUUUUAGACUAAAUAAGUACGAAUACUACAAUUUUGACAAACUAGAGUAUUUUGAAGUAUUAAAAAUACUUUGGAACUGUUUGGCGCUCUGUUUACCCUCUCCCUCCACUACCCUGCCGACCAAACUCAACCUAGAAACUCUAGCGAGCCUGGCACUAGCAGCAAUGACGGUGGAGCAGACCUUCAUCAUGAUCAAGCCCGAUGGCAUCCAAAGCCAUGAAGCUCCAGAACGUGGAGAAGUCAUUCGCUGAGCAGCAGCACGUCGAUCUAUCCUCCAAGCCAUUCUUCGGUGGGCUCGUUGACUACAUCAUCUCUGAGCGCCAGCACGCUUCGCAACCCCAGAAAUCCAUCGGUCUGCAAUCUUCUACAGGCAACAACGGCAGCUGCACUCCUGCUCCAUCCUCGCACAAUGCCACGCCUGCCUCCAGCCAAAGCAGUGGCUUCUUCGGCAUGGCUCCGCAGCCCAACUUGCCACUGGAGGCCUUGUUCUCCACGUCCUCCCGCUCCAGUGGCCCUUCACCCACUGCCGCCUCUGAGUGGCACCCGCCCGGGGCGCCCCCUGGUCAUAGAUCCACAGUGCCGGCGCUGGGAAAUUGGGGGGGGGGAGAGAGAGAGCAAGAUGAAUGGAAGAGGUCAGAUGUCACCGUUUUUGUAUCGAUGGAGAUGAUAGGCUGCAGCGUCUCGAUGAAGAUACAGAGGGACGAGUUGUUACUCCGAGCCAGUGUUUUUCCUUCGUAUGCUGUAAAAAGUAAAGAGGUCCAGGCCUCUUUUUUUAUACAGAGAAAAUACCUCAGUUUUGGAAAUACUCUAGUAUUCAAAAUACAGUUUUUUGGGGCAUCCAAACACCUCAAUGUAUAUAAAGCCGAGGUUAAAUUAAAUAUUGUAGUAUUCUCACAAUACUGUAAAAAUACAGAGCUAUCAAACGGGGCAAGAGUUUUUGGCACUGUUCAUAAUAAAGGAGUUUUUGCACUAA